AGCAGCCGCGGUAAUUCCAGCUCCAAUAGCGUAUAUUAAAAUUGUUGCAGUUAAAAAGCUCGUAGUUGAAUUUCGGGAUCAGCAGGUCGGUCGUGCCACUGGUAUGCACUGGCCUUGCUGAUUCCUCCCUCUUGAUGAGCCGUAAUGCCAUUAAUUUGGUGUUGCGGGGAAUCAGGACUGUUACUUUGAAAAAAUUAGAGUGUUUAAAGCAGGCAUGCGCUUGAAUACAUUAGCAUGGAAUAAUGAAAUAGGACGUUCGAUCCUAUUUUGUUGGUUUCUAGGAUUGACGUAAUGAUUAAUAGGGAUAGUUGGGGGCAUUAGUAUUCAAUUGUCAGAGGUGAAAUUCUUGGAUUUAUUGAAGACUAACUACUGCGAAAGCAUUUGCCAAGGAUGUUUUCAUUAAUCAAGAACGAAAGUUAGGGGAUCGAAGACGAUCAGAUACCGUCGUAGUCUUAACCAUAAACUAUGCCGACUAGGGAUCGGAUGAUGUUAAUUUUUUCAAUGACUCAUUCGGCGCCUU
rnacentral:rRNA from 1 species